UGAGAGAAUUAUUAGAUUUAAUAAAUUUUGAUUUUUGAAAACUUUAAUUAAAGAAAAUAAUUUGAUCUUUAAUUUAAAGUUAAUAGAGUAAAUUAUCUUAGGGAUAACGGCGUUAUAUUUUUUUUAUAGAUCUUAUAGAAAAAAAUGAUUGCGACCUCGAUCGUUGAAUGAAGAUAAAUGUUAAAUGUAGAAGUUUAAUAAUUAAGUCUGUUCGACUUUUAAAAUCUUACAUGAUUUGAGUUCAAACCGACGUAAGAUUUGAAAAGUCGAAG